rnacentral:lncRNA from 1 species
GGCGGGCGCAGGAUGAGGGCGGCCAUUGCUGGGGCUCUGCUUCGGGGAGGAGGACGCUGAGGAGGCGCCGAGCCGCGCAGCGCUGCGGGGGAGGCGCCCGCGCCGACGCGGGGCCCAUGGCCAGGACCACCAGCCAGCUGGUGAGCGCGCUGCAGCGGACUGGGCGCGCCGGCUUGUUACCCUGCCGGGUCCGGCGGCCGCCCGUGUCCGGCGAGGCGGGGCGGCCCGGGGUCCCGAGGGCCGGGUGCCGCCUUACCUGCAGCCGGGCGGCCGGGCCGGGGAUGGCGGGCGCCUGCCGAGGGCGCUGCUUGGCUGCGGCGGGGAGCCCGGGCCUGGGUUGCGGCGGGUUCUACGGUCUGGGGACGAUGGUUUAAGAAUUUAUGCGUUGUAUGCGAUGUGCAGUGGGUGAUGGAAGAACGUCUACAUAGCUUGCAAAAUUUGAUUUAAAAGGCAAAUAUUUUAAAUGAAGGAAAACCCAAGAAGUUUACUUGAUUCCUUAUCUUCCAGGAUGCGACUUUUAUUUAUUUAUUUUGAUGGAGUCUCGCUCCCGUCGCGCAGGCUGGAGUGCAGUGACGUGAUCUCGA